rnacentral:ncRNA from 2 species
UUUUAGCCCCGAUAGCAGCGGAAAUCCUUCUGCGCCGGUGUUCGGCACAAAAGAUUGCAGCGGAUAGCAGGAAAAAGC